AGACCAAAAAAAAAAAAAAAAAAUCAUCUGGUCAUUAAAUUUCAAUAAAUUACUUUCCAUCAGCAAUUGUCAUCUACUUUUCAUCAGUAUUAAUUUGUUAUAAAAAAAAAUAAUGAGAGAGAAAAUAUAGUGAAAAUAUACCAUAUGAAAUCAAAGAUAUGGGGCAACAAAUUCAAAAGUAACAUAACAUACAUUGAAGGUAGUGAGGUCAACAGG
rnacentral:misc_RNA from 1 species